CUAUGUUGGCCGGGCGACGGUUGUCCCGGUUUAAGCGUGUAGGUGUGUGUUCCAGGUAAAUCCGGUUCACUUUAACACUGAGGCGUGACGACGAGGCACUACGGUGCUGAAGCAACAAAUGCCCUGCUUCCAGGAAAAGCCUCUAAGCAUCAGGUAACAUCAAAUCGUACCCCAAACCGACACAGGUGGUCAGGUAGAGAAUACCAAGGCGCUUGAGAGAACUCGGGUGAAGGAACUAGGCAAAAUGGUGCCGUAACUUCGGGAGAAGGCACGCUGACACGUAGGUGAAGUGAUUUACUCAUGGAGCUGAAGUCAGUCGAAGAUACCAGCUGGCUGCAACUGUUUAUUAAAAACACAGCACUGUGCAAACACGAAAGUGGACGUAUACGGUGUGACGCCUGCCCGGUGCCGGAAGGUUAAUUGAUGGGGUCAGCGCAAGCGAAGCUCCUGAUCGAAGCCCCGGUAAACGGCGGCCGUAACUAUAACGGUCCUAAGGUAGCGAAAUUCCUUGUCGGGUAAGUUCCGACCUGCACGAAUGGCGUAAUGAUGGCCAGGCUGUCUCCACCCGAGACUCAGUGAAAUUGAACUCGCUGUGAAGAUGCAGUGUACCCGCGGCAAGACGGAAAGACCCCGUGAACCUUUACUAUAGCUUGACACUGAACAUUGAGCCUUGAUGUGUAGGAUAGGUGGGAGGCUUUGAAGUGUGGACGCCAGUCUGCAUGGAGCCGACCUUGAAAUACCACCCUUUAAUGUUUGAUGUUCUAACGUGGACCCGUUACCCGGGUUGCGGACAGUGUCUGGUGGGUAGUUUGACUGGGGCGGUCUCCUCCUAAAGAGUAACGGAGGAGCACGAAGGUUGGCUAAUCCUGGUCGGACAUCAGGAGGUUAGUGCAAUGGCAUAAGCCAGCUUGACUGCGAGCGUGACGGCGCGAGCAGGUGCGAAAGCAGGUCAUAGUGAUCCGGUGGUUCUGAAUGGAAGGGCCAUCGCUCAACGGAUAAAAGGUACUCCGGGGAUAACAGGCUGAUACCGCCCAAGAGUUCAUAUCGACGGCGGUGUUUGGCACCUCGAUGUCGGCUCAUCACAUCCUGGGGCUGAAGUAGGUCCCAAGGGUAUGGCUGUUCGCCAUUUAAAGUGGUACGCGAGCUGGGUUUAGAACGUCGUGAGACAGUUCGGUCCCUAUCUGCCGUGGGCGCUGGAGAACUGAGGGGGGCUGCUCCUAGUACGAGAGGACCGGAGUGGACGCAUCACUGGUGUUCGGGUUGUCAUGCCAAUGGCACUGCCCGGUAGCUAAAUGCGGAAGAGAUAAGUGCUGAAAGCAUCUAAGCACGAAACUUGCCCCGAGAUGAGUUCUCCCUGAGACUUUAGGUCUCCUGAAGGAACGUUGAAGACGACGACGUUGAUAGGCCGGGUGUGUAAGCGCAGCGAUGCGUUGAGCUAACCGGUACUAAUGAACCGUGAGGCUUAACCUUACAACGCCGAAGAUGUUUUGGCGGAUGAGAGACGAUUUUCAGCACUGAUUCNNNNNNNNNNNNNNNNNNNNGGAUGAGAGACGAUUUUCAGCACUGAUUCAGAUUACAUCAGAACGUAAAAACGGUCUGAUAACAGAAUUUGCCUGGCGGCAGUAGCGCGGUGGUCCCACCUNNNNNNNNNNNNNNNNNNNNUAGCGCGGUGGUCCCACCUGACCCCAUGCCGAACUCAGAAGUGAAACGCCGUAGCGCCGAUGGUAGUGUGGGGUCUCCCCAUGCGAGAGUAGGGAACUGCCAGGCAUCA
rnacentral:rRNA from 1 species